GCCAGACAGAAGACAGGUAGAAUCGUGUGGCUUCCAGAAGUAGAACCAUGAGCCAUGAGUGGAAGCUCCAGGAAGACACAUCUUGGGCUACUGUUGUGAAGAUACUCAGAACUCAAAGACCGACCUGAGGUGAAGAUACUCUGAACUCAAAGACCAACCUGAGGUGAAGAUACUCUGAACUCAAAGACCGACCUGAGGUGAAGAUACUCUGAACUCAAAGACCGACCUGAGGUGAAGAUACUCUGAACUCAAAGACCGAUCUGAGGUGAAGAUACUCUGAACUCAAAGACCGACCUGAGACGGAAUGACCUCCCUGGGGAGGGUGUGAGUGCCCCACCUCGACAGGCUUUCAGAGUCUGCACAAUUCUUGUUGGCAACGUUGAGGAGAGAAUGCGUUAUGGACCAGUGGGGUGGGCGAGGUGAGGCAUCUGAGGCUCAGAGAGUUAAUGAAAUUAAGUCUGCAUAGCGAG
rnacentral:lncRNA from 1 species